rnacentral:pre_miRNA from 1 species
CUCGCAGUAUAUUUUUGUGUUUUGUUCAAUUUGUCAACUCAAAUCACAGGAUUAUACUGUGAG